AAGACUAUACUUUCAGGGAUCAUUUCUAUAGUAUCUGACUAGGAAAUGUGAUUUGAAAGCGUUACGUCUCUCUAAUCACGAUGACGAGUAUUGAUGUAUUCUUCUGAGCGUGAAUCGGAUUUUGGCUAAUGAUGUUUUUCAUGCGCUUUAAUCAUUGAUGAACGUUCUUAACUUCUCAUGAAGUGAAAGAGGAAGAGUACAUGAUCAGAGUGAUU
ensembl:snoRNA